GUGCUCAGUACUGACCAGUUGCGUGCCUCUUUUCCUCCACUGUCUCUCAGUUCUCGAUUAGUUGUCGCCAUGGGUUUUGGAGACUUGAAAAGCCCCACUGGCCUCCAGGUGCUCAGUGACUACUUGGCGGACAAGAGUUACAUAGAGGGGUAUAUGCCGUCACAAGCAGAUAUGGCAGUAUUUGAAGCCGUCUCCAGCCCACCACCUGCCGACUUAUGUCAUGCCCUCCAUUGGUAUAAUCACGUCAAAUCUUAUGAGAAGGAAAAGGCCAGGCUGCCAGGAGUGAAGAAAGCUUUGGGCAAGUAUGGCCCUGCUAAUGUGGAAGACACCGCAGAAAGUGGAGCUACAGAUAGUAAAGAGGAUGAUGACAUGGAUCUCUUUGGAUCUGAUGAGGAGGAGGAAAGUGAAGAAGUCAAGAGGCUAAGAGAAGAACGCCUUGCCCAGUAUGAGUCAAAGAAAGCCAGAAAACAAACAGUUGUCACCAAGUCUUCCAUCUUAUUAGAUGUGAAACCUUGGGAUGAUGAGACCGAUAUGGCAAAACUAGAGGAGUGCGUCAGAAGCAUUCAAGCAGACAGCUUAGUCUGGGGCUCUUCUAAACUAGUUCUGGUUGGGUAUGGCAUUAAAAAACUUCAAAUACAGUGUGUAGUUGAAGAUGACAAAGUUGGGACAGACAUGCUGGAGGAGCAGAUCACUGCUUUUGAUGCGUAUGUACAGUCUAUGGAUGUGGCUGCAUUCAACAAGAUCUAAAAUCCAUCAUGGAUCAGUAUCCUCAAAUAAAAGUUUGAAAGACAAAAAA